rnacentral:lncRNA from 1 species
GAGGUUCGCCAGAGAAAAACUCGCCGGAGAAGAAACUUGCCGGUGGAAAAGGCGUCGCCGGAGAGAAAAAAGGGAGAGAGAUGAAGAAGAGAAGGAAGGAGAGGGGAGUGAUUAGAUGAAGAAGAGAGGAGAGGAGAGUGUUUUUUUUUUUUUUUGGGAGUAGGAGUGGGAGUUGGCUGUGAGAGUAAUGGGAGAGUAAUGAGAGAUAUAUUAUUAAUUAUAAAAGGAUAUGAUAGAAUUGUAAUGUUUGUUUAAGGGUAAUUUCGGUAUUUUAGUAAAAAAAUUUAAGUUGUGAAACAGCUUGUGCGGGAAUCUGUUUUGGAAAAGCAAGUUUUUUCAGCUUCUGCUUUUGGAGGUUGAAGAAUCAGUUUUCAGCUUUUAGGAAGCAGAAUCAGAUUUCUAAAU